ACGCUGGCGGCGUGCUUAACACAUGCAAGUCGAACGUGAAAUUCGUCUUCGGACGGAGAGUAAAGUGGCGCACGGGUGAGUAACGCGUGGGUAAUCUACCCCGAGGCUCGGGAUAACCAACCGAAAGGCUGGCUAAUACCGAAUAAUGUCUCUUCACUCAAGUGAUGUGACAAUAGGAGGCUCUGCUUCCGCCACGGGAUGAGUCCGCGUACCAUUAGCUAGUUGGUAGGGUAAUGGCCUACCAAGGCUACGAUGGUUAGCUGGUCUGAGAGGACGAUCAGCCACACUGGAACUGAGACACGGUCCAGACUCCUACGGGAGGCAGCAGUGGGGAAUAUUGCGCAAUGGGGGAAACCCUGACGCAGCGACGCCGCGUGAGUGAAGAAGGCCCUUGGGUCGUAAAGCUCUGUCGACAGGGAAGAAAUUACUUUGUAUUAAUAGUGCCUCUGCAUUGACGGUACCUGUAGAGGAAGCACCGGCUAACUCUGUGCCAGCAGCCGCGGUAAUACGGGGGGUGCAAGCGUUAUUCGGAAUUAUUGGGCGUAAAGGGCGCGUAGGCGGUCUUGUUUGUCGGUCAGAUGUGAAAGCCCGGGGCUCAACCCUGGAAGUGCAUUUGAAACAGCAAGACUUGAAUACUGGAGAGGAGAGCGGAAUUCCUGGUGUAGAGGUGAAAUUCGUAGAUAUCAGGAGGAACACCGAUGGCGAAGGCAGCUCUCUGGACAGAUAUUGACGCUGAGGCGCGAAGGUGUGGGUAGCAAACGGGAUUAGAUACCCCGGUAGUCCACACAGUAAACGUUGUUCACUCGGUGUAGCGGAUAUUAAAAUCUGCUGCGCCCAAGCUAACGUGGUAAGUGAACCGCCUGGGGAGUACGGUCGCAAGACUAAAACUCAAAGGAAUUGACGGGGGCCCGCACAAGCGGUGGAGCAUGUGGUUUAAUUCGACAACGCGAAGAACCUUACCUGGAUUUGACAUCCUGUGAAUCCCUUGGAAACUUGGGAGUGCCGGAGUGCCUUCGGGAACACAGUGACAGGUGCUGCAUGGCUGUCGUCAGCUCGUGUCGUGAGAUGUUUGGUUAAGUCCAGCAACGAGCGCAACCCUUAUCUUUAGUUGCCAGCGCGUAAUGGCGGGAACUCUAGAGAGACUGCCCGGGUUAACCGGGAGGAAGGCGGGGAUGACGUCAAGUCCUCAUGGCCCUUAUAUCCAGGGCUACACACGUGCUACAAUGGUAAGUACACAGAGGGCAGCGAGCCGGCAAUGGUGAGCGAAUCCCUAAAGCUUAUCUCAGUCCGGAUUGGAGUCUGCAACUCGACUCCAUGAAGUUGGAAUCGCUAGUAAUCGCGGAUCAGCAUGCCGCGGUGAAUAUGUUCCCGGGCCUUGUACACACCGCCCGUCACACCAUGGGAGUUGAUUAUACCCGACGUCGCUGGGCUAACCCUUCGGGGAAGCAGGCGCCUAAGGUAUGGUU
rnacentral:rRNA from 1 species